rnacentral:lncRNA from 1 species
AGAGGAAGAAAAAUAGGAUAGAGGAGAGAAAAAGAGAGAUUAGAGAGACUCUUUUGAGAGUUUUUUUUUGAGUUUGUAAACUCCGUUUUAAAUUCUAUUCAAGUAGAAAUAGAAUUGUUUUUCCUCUUUUAUUCUCUUCUCGUGAUCGGAGAAUCACAACAAGGAUAAGGGGAUGAAUGAACAAACUAGUGAAGGACACUACAUCCUGAAAAUGAAGGUAGUGAAGGUGGGGAAAUGCAUCAUUAUAUUGGUGAAUAAUUAUCUUAAAAUGUAGAGGAGGCAUUGUCGCAGUUUGCAGAAACACUUAUGUAUGAUGCCAACAUUGAUAAUGUACAAUGCAAACAGGUUGAACAUACAAUGGAAUUAAGUGAUUGAAGCAUAACUAUACUUAACGAUGAUGACAGUGUGGAUUAAUAGUAGAAGAUUUUGUCUCAAUCCAAUAUUUGUAAUGACUGUAGCAACUAAAGCCAUUUUCGAGGUUAGCAUCUCCAUCAGAUCAAUGAAAAGCUCCUCAUCCAGACCACUCAAGAAUUCCUCAGCUUUCUCAGAUUUGCUAGAAGGGUUCACUAGUUUCUCAAGCAAGGACCUUGCAUCUACAUCUCUUGCAUAGCUGCCACUUAAGGCAUUCCAUCCCACUUCUGUAAUUCAAACUCCAAACAUUGUAUAAAUAUCUAUGCUGGACUUGGGAGACUAUUGUAUUGUGUUUAAAUGCUCAAUAUAUUGUACUAAUCACCUUGACAAUGAAUUCGCUUCUACCAUACACUGAAGUCCACUUGUUAUAUAAAUAUAUGUACAUGAAUUUAGGGGACUAUUAGUACUCCUCUUCUGAAUAAGGCUCUAGGUCAUUGUACACGUGGCAAUCAGUUGGCUAUUGACCAAAACCACACUCCACAUCACCAUCCUAGCUAAUCAGUGUGGGAUCAUAGUUGAGGUGAUAUGUUCAUGCAAAAUUCACAAGCGCACGGGAUCGUUGACGAGUAAUCGAUUUAGUGAUUGACAGUAUCGUCCCACGAGAAAGAAAAUUUAAUUGAGUGUACUAGUGUUUAAUUAGAUUCAAAGUUAAUAAAUAAAAG